CUUGGUCAUUUAGAGGAAGUAAAAGUCGUAACAAGGUUUCCGUAGGUGAACCUGCGGAAGGAUCAUUAAGAGUACGGACGUUCUCGUCCGGGUCUUUACCCAAACCUCUGUGAACUCUUCCCUGUUGCUUCGGCGAGACAGCACUCCGGUGCCCGACUGCUCUGGCGGUUGGAGUGCUCGCCAGAAGACCAUUUAAACUCGAGUUUUGGUGCCUGUCUGAAAAAAAAAGCAAUACUUAAAACUUUCAACAACGGAUCUCUUGGUUCUCGCAUCGAUGAAGAACGCAGCGAAAUGCGAUAAGUAAUGUGAAUUGCAGAAUUCAGUGAAUCAUCGAAUCUUUGAACGCACAUUGCGCCCCUUGGUAUUCCGAUGGGCACGUCUGUAUGAACGUCAUAUAAACACUCAAGCCCUGCUUGGUGAUGGGGGCGGCUUUGCCGUCACCCGCAAUCCGUGGGCGGAGGCCGCCACACGUCGGAGUAGUGAACACUUUCUCUAGAACGUGUGGAGGGUCCCCAGCCAAACGUCUUCUCAAGUUUGACUUCAUAUCAGACGAGGUUACCCGCUGAACUUAAGCAUAUCAAUAAGCGGAGGAAAAGAAACCAACUGGGAUUGCCUCAGUAACGGCGAGUGAAGCGGCAAAAGCUCAAAUUUGAAAUCUGGCCUUUGGCCCGAGUUGUAAUUUGGAGAGGUGUCUUUGGCGUACACGCGGGCCUACAUUCCUUGGAACAGGAUGGCAUAGAGGGUGAGAUCCCCGUCUUCGGCCCGUAGUCGUCGCCAUGUAUAGACCCUUCGACGAGUCGAGUUGUUUGGGAAUGCAGCUCAAAAUGGGUGGUAAAUUUCAUCUAAAGCUAAAUACCGGCGAGAGACCGAUAGCGCACAAGUAGAGUGAUCGAAAGAUGAAAAGCACUUUGGAAAGAGAGUCAAACAGUACGUGAAAUUGUUGAAAGGGAAGCGCUUGCAACCAGACUCUUUCGCGGUUGAUCAGCCGUUCUUCUGGACGGUGCACUCUGCCGUGAUCGGGACAGCAUCGGUCGGUGCGGCGGGACAAAGGCUUCGGGAAUGUGGCUCUCUUCGGGGAGUGUUAUAGCCCGUUGCGUAAUGCCGCCAGUGCCGACCGAGGUCCGCGCUAUGCUAGGAUGCUGUCAUAAUGGUUGUCAGCGACCCGUCUUGAAACACGGACC
rnacentral:rRNA from 1 species